rnacentral:rRNA from 1 species
UACGGAGGGUGCGAGCGUUGUCCGGAAUCACUGGGCGUAAAGGGCGCGUAGGCGGCCCGGUAAGUAGGAGGUGAAAUCCUGCGGCUUAACCGCAGGGCUGCCUUCUAAACUGCCAGGCUUGAGCACAGUAGAGGCAGGUGGAAUUCCCGGUGUAGCGGUGGAAUGCGUAGAGAUCGGGAAGAACACCGGUGGCGAAGGCGGGUCUCUGGGCCGAUACUGACGCUGAGGAGCGAAAGCGUGGGGAGCGAACAGG